rnacentral:rRNA from 1 species
CUAAGGGGAUUAGUGGCGAACGGGUGAGUAAUAUAUCGGAACGUACCUUGUAAUGGGGGAUAACUAGUCGAAAGAUUAGCUAAUACCGCAUACGCCCUGAGGGGGAAAGUAGGGGAUCUUCGGACCUUACGUUAUAAGAGCGGCCGAUAUCUGAUUAGCUAGUUGGUGGGGUAAUGGCCUACCAAGGCGACGACCAGUAGCUGGUCUGAGAGGACGACCAGCCACACUGGAACUGAGACACGGUCCAG